AAAAAUUCUAAGAAAAGAAGAGUACUUUAUUUGAUGUCUUAAGCGAGUAGGAGCUAUGGUGGAAGUCCUAUAGAAUAGAAUAAAGGAAGAGAGCCUUUGAGAAAUCAUUUGGUAAAGUUAUAUUAAAUGAUCGCAGAUAAACAUGCGUUAAAUGUUGAGUGGUAUUUUACGUAAGGUAAAAUACAAUGAGAGUGGUACCGCGAUUUAAUCGUCUCUUUG
rnacentral:ncRNA from 1 species